CAGCCUCCAGAGAUCCUGUUCUACACCAGACCAGUGGAGCCAGACUGCAGCCAGAUCAGAGAUCACCAUCCUCAUCUGAUUGUAAGUAAGCAAUCUAGUAUAUUAUUAGUGACACUAAUCUCUAAUUUACCUCACAAUAAAUGGACACUAUAGUCCCCAGAACCACUGCAGCUUAAUAAAGUUGUUCUGGUGUCUAUAGUUUGUCCCUGCAGGCUUUUUAAUGUAAACACACACUGUGUGCAGCACUGGCAUUAGUUCAUAUGGGUGG